GGGAGCGAGGUUGGAGAGGCUGCGGCGCGUGGCCUGAGGCGGAGAGCCGGGCUGCGGGGGUCCGGGCCAGGCCAGGCGCCGGCAUGACCCGCCUCGCCAGCAAGAGCAGGCCGGGCUUCCUCCUCCCUUGGCGGGCGGGGGAGGGGAAGGGGGCUCCUGGUCGGGGAGAAGGGGGAUAAGGUGGUCCUGAUUCUCCCUGUGCCACAGCCACAAAGCCGAUCCUGGCCUCCUGCGGAGGAGCCUGAGCGCCUUCCCGCAGACCUGACGCGACCCCUCCCCAGGGUCCUGGGCCUCGGCCUGGUCUAGCGAGUCCCCUUCCUCCCAAGGAGCAGCCAGAGGAGCUCGGGUGGAGGAAAGCGAGGAGGCGACCCGAAGGAUGCCGCCGCCGCCGCCGCUGCAGGGCCCAGGGCUUCUGUAGGGCACAAGGCCUCUCUCACCAGGGUAAGGGGCUGGCGAUCAACCUGGACGCCUAGGACCCUGGGAGCAAGCAUCCCGCAACCGAGCAGGCGACGGCGCGGCCACCACCUGGAGAGGAGCCGGGGCCCGGGGCGGCGUGCGGGGCGGUGGCAGCCGGCUUGGCCUAUCUGAAACCCCAGGCCUGGAAGCGGCUGCCUUUAGGCGUCAAGUUGAGCCGGGUAUGUGUGUCCUCUUGGGGAAAAGGAAACCCGCCCAGGCCAGGAGGAGCCGCGAGUGGUGGGGAGAGUCAAAAAAGAGGAGAUGCGCUGGGAGAUUACCCCCGCCCCCGCACUCCGCCCCUAGCCCGGCCCCGGCCUCCACUUCGAGGGAUCCUGAGCCUCCCACAGCCACUACCACCUUUUCCCCGGUUGAGAAAACCCCUGAUAGUAGCGAGAUAAAAAUUGGGUGGGGGAACAGGUGGAUGCCGCCGGAGAAAAAGAAGGGAUGUAGGCAGCCCAGCCGGCGGCCCUGGGUCUCCAGGGGUAAGCCAGGACCGCUUACCCUGCCCUCAGCGGCAUCAGUGACUCUUAGGAGCUUGCUACUUCUAGACUCGGCCUCUCCUCCCUCCCAAGGCACCCCUCAGCCUCACCGCUGUAGCACCCAGGACUCCAGCCCCUGCACCUAGGAAAGGCUUCAGCCUGGCAGAAAUUCACCCAUUUCAAGGCUUGGCCCACCAGGCCUUAGCAUUGCCGGGUGAGGUGGGGUGCACGCGGUGCUCAGGACGGCCAGUGGAGUCACCUGCUCCACUCCCCCUGCCUGGACACCCACUUCCUCACAGCUACCCAGCUCCUGAGGACCCUGGCCAACUACAGCCCCAGCCCCCAGCGCUGGCCUCAACCGAGUCUCCUCCGUCUGCUUCAGUUUGGCCUUUUUGGAGGAGAAGGAGGGCUUUAUCUGGGGACUAUUGUGUUUUGACUCCUUUAUAUUAGCCAAGGAACUGGAGUGUGAUUGUAGCGGGACGAUCUGGCAGGCGGAGUGUUCACAGCAGGGGUAGGAAAAGAGGGGAGGGGGACUCCGUUCAGAUCCUGGAGACAGUAGAGGCGCACUUUUAAAAGCACCAGCCGUUCGUGUCUUCCUUUGGACGUGCUAGAGAACCCCUGGUAAAAAAUCCAUGUUUGUGCCUGGCUCAGAGAUGCAAAGGAGGAGGUUUGGCGUGCGCACCGUUCUCCCGGCCUCCUUUGGUCCCGGGCUGCCCCCUACCCACAGCCUCUCCCUCCCGGCAGCUCAGCUGUAGGCUGCCUUCCACCUCGCGGACCCCAAGCAAUUUGUUAUAUAAAACAAAACAGCAACCAGACGCAUGUGCCUGUUCUUCACUAGCGCCAGCAGUCCAGCAGCGACCGACACCCGGCGGACAUCAGCCGGGACGCCUCAGGCAGCUGCUUCUUGCUCGCUGCCGCACCCACCUCUGCACCCCAGCUCCGGUCAGCCCAGCAGCCAAAGCAAAAAGGAGAUUCCUCAGUUUGCUCCCUUGGAGGCUGCAAAGCCUCUCUGGUUAUUCCAACCAUUAAGGAAAAAAGAGGUGAUGGGAAAGAUUUGGUCUGCACACAAAGACAUACCAGGAGAAGAAUGCACAUUUAUGUGUAAAAUAGCCCAGGCACCAAGAAUGAGACAUUACUUCAGUACAGCCUAGAAAUGGUUAAAUAUAACUGAAUGCUAGAGGACAGAAGUGGUUUUGGGAUCUGCCCCACACACCUUAUCAGGAUCCCUAAUUCCCCGCCAUCUCCUAUGGUUCCAGGACACAAACUGCUUUAACCUCCAGAAGAGGGGCUCUCAGCCACGUGGCUCCCAGUACCUACCGGUUCCCCAGGCACUCUGUGUCCCGGGGCAGCUGGAAACCCUAACAGAAAACCCCCACCGAAGAAUGCUCAGGAGUUCCCACUCCCAUCCCUUCUCUGCACCCCUGACUGUCCCCACCUCAUUUAUCUUUUGCAAGAA